rnacentral:rRNA from 1 species
UCCCUAUGGGGUGCAGCAGUCGCGAAAAUUUUGCAAUACACGAAAGUGUGACAGAGCUAUCCCGAGUGCCAUCCGCUGAGGAAGGCUUUUACCCAGUAUAAAUAGCUGGGAGAAUAAGGAGAGGGCAAGUCUGGUGUCAGCCGCCGCGGUAAUACCAGCUCUCCGAGUAGUGUGGACGUUUAUUGGGCCUAAAGCAUCCGUAGCUUGCUAGAUAAGUCCCCUGUUAAAUCCACCGAUUCAAUCGUUGGAUUGCGGGGGAUACUGUUUGGCUAGGGGACGGGAGAGGUCGACGGUAUUUCCGGGGUAGGGGUGAAGUCCUAUAAUCCCGGGAAGACCACCAGUGGCGAAGGCUGUCGACUAGAACGCGCCCGACGGUGAGGGAUGAAAGCUGGGGGAGCGAACCGGAUUAGAUACCCGGGUAGUCCCAGCUGUAAACGAUGCAGGCUAGGUGUUUGGGCGGCCACGAGCCGCCCUAGUGCCGCAGGGAAGCUGUUAAGCCUGCCGCCUGGGGAGUACGGCCGCAAGGCUGAAACUUAAAGGAAUUGGCGGGGGAGCACCACAAGGGGUGAAGCUUGCGGUUUAAUUGGAGUCAACGCCGGAA